AUCUCCUACUCUGGGCUAUGCUCAUUUCUACUUUUUCAUUUUAUGCAAAAUUGCAACAUAUGUAAAAAUAACUUUUUCAACCUCCGUCUUGGUAUGAUUACAAUCUGGACCAACAUU